UACGUAGGGGGCUAGCGUUGUCCGGAAUCAUUGGGCGUAAAGCGCGUGUAGGCGGUCCGGUAAGUCCGCUGUGAAAGUCGAGGGCUCAACCCUCGAAUGCCGGUGGAUACUGUCGGGCUAGAGUGCGGAAGAGGCGAGUGGAAUUCCUGGUGUAGCGGUGAAAUGCGCAGAUAUCAGGAGGAACACCGGUGGCGAAGGCGGGUCUCUGGGCCGUAACUGACGCUGAGGAGCGAAAGCGUGGGGAGCGAACAGG
rnacentral:rRNA from 1 species